UGGGGAAUAUUGCACAAUGGGCGAAAGCCUGAUGCAGCGACGCCGCGUGAGGGAUGACGGCCUUCGGGUUGUACACUUCUUUCAGUAGGGACGAAGCGCAAGUGACGGUACCUGCAGAAGAAGCAACGGCUAACUACGUGCCAGCAGCCGCCGUAAUACGUAGGGUGCGAGCGUUGUCCGGAAUUACUGGGCGUAAAGAGGUCGUAGGCGGUUUGUCACGUCGUCUGUGAAAUCCUAGGGGUUAACCCGGGACGUGCAGGCGUUAAGAGCUGACUUGAGUACUGCAAGGGAGGCUAGAAUUUCUGGUGUAGCGGUGGAAUGCACAGAUAACAUGAAGAGCAACGAUGGCGGAGGAAGGGCUCUGGGUAGUAACUGACGCUGAGGAGCGAAAGGAUGGGUAGCGAACAAG
rnacentral:rRNA from 1 species